rnacentral:rRNA from 1 species
UACGGAGGAUCCAAGCGUUAUCCGGAAUCAUUGGGUUUAAAGGGUCCGUAGGCGGCCCUGUAAGUCAGUGGUGAAAUCUCCCCGCUCAACGGGGAAACUGCCAUUGAUACUGCAGGGCUUGAAUUAUUGUGAAGUAACUAGAAUAUGUAGUGUAGCGGUGAAAUGCUUAGAGAUUACAUGGAAUACCGAUUGCGAAGGCAGGUUACUAACAAUGGAUUGACGCUGAUGGACGAAAGCGUGGGGAGCGAACAGG